CGCGAGUGCGUGGAGUUUCGGCCUUCGUUGCUUGUGAUACCUUUUGCUUCUUGAGCGUACUUUUCCGUGUGGUAGGUCAACAUCGGUUUCGAUUGCCAUAAAAUGACCGGAGGAAUGUGGCUUCUAUCUUGUAUUGGAGUGUUAUACCCUCUGGUAGAUGUGGUGGUUGGGAUCAAGGAUUGCAACAAAUACCCUUUGGGCUAUCCGCCUGACCUCUGAAAGUCGCUUGGGUACCAAAAGCUUGCUUACUGUCAUUCA
rnacentral:rRNA from 1 species